rnacentral:lncRNA from 1 species
GGUUCCCGCCCCCCUCAUCGCCCCGAAUCCGGCUGUCCCCUCAGGCCCCACUCUCUCCUUCCUCCGGGAGAGGUCCCGGCCGCGGCAUGAACGGGAGUCGCCGGCAGCCCUUCCCGGGCCCCAGCAGCACCUGCCGGGGCUGCCAUAGCGCGGUCGCGCCGGCUUUAGAAGCGGCAACGGCGGGAGCUGGAGCUGCGCCUCAGGAGAGCCGGGCUGAGGGGCGGGGCUGAGCGGGCAGAGUUUGGCGGGCCGGUUGAAAGGGCGGCUGUGAUUGGACGGAGCAGAGAAAGGCGGGCCGGGAUUGGCGGGGCUUCGGGCGAGGUGGGCGGGGCUUGGGGCCUGCCGUGCUGAGGGGGACGGGAGGGACCUUGAGCGGCGAGCGAGGUGUGGAGAAAAGGCGCUGGGGUGAAGUGUGUUCUGGUCCCGGCGGUGGAGCAAGGAGCUUGACGGUGUUCUGAAUUGCUACAAUGAGAGCCCAGAGCCAAGGAGCAUCCCAUAAGUCUGGACCAAACAGUGCCAGUACGAGACGCUGGCUCUGUUCAGUGCCAGUCUGCGUGGAGCACCCCAGAAACAGCACGGAGAAGACCAAGGGGUGGCCUUCAGUGUGGUGUUGGUAGAAGAGGGCAGAACUAAUAUCACUUCAGUGCUGAGCCAGUGACACUUAAUGAGGCCCUUCAAGUUAUGCUGGACCUUCAAAUGAAGAGCAAGAACAACAGAGUCUGUUAAAAGUAUGUUUUGCUUCCUUCCCUCUCAGAUGAGCAGGACAAAAAAGCUUACAACUCCAGUUUUGAUGUAUUUACUGACUUACACAAGAUGGCCAUUAGCGUUGAUCAGAGGCAAUUUUUUCUGGUUUUGUUCAAUUUCUUUCUAAAAUGUUGUCAUUUACGAAGAGAUAAACAGUCUGUAAAUGUAAAUCCAUAGGUUUUUUUACAGUUCUUACAUAAACAACUAAGGCCUCUCAAAUCACUGAAGGUCAUUAAAAUUUAAUGCUGUGUAAAGUUCAGUGAUCAAUGUAUCCAUUUAGUAAACAUACCUUUUUGUACAAGCUUUUAGCCCUCAUCUUAUAUUAGCAUUCAGGUGGAAUGACUACUGAAGUAUUCUAAAUAUUUCUUUUAAAUGAAGCUUUUAAAAGGUUCCUCUUGCUUUUACGUUUAUACCCUUCAAAUUAAUAAAAGGUUUUCCAUUAUGUGAUGUCA